rnacentral:rRNA from 1 species
GACGAACGCUGGCGGCGUGCUUAACACAUGCAAGUCGAACGGAAAGGCCUGCUUUCCCUUGUGGAUUGCGGGUACUCGAGUGGCGAACGGGUGAGUAACACGUGCGUGAUCUGCCCCCAACUUGGGUAUAAGCCUGGGAAACUGGGUCUAAUUCCCGAUAGGACUGCAGGGUGGUGCCUGUGGUGGAAAACGAUUUUCUAGUGGUUGGGGAUGAGCUCGCGGCCUAUCAGCUUGUUGGUGGGGUAAUGGCCUACCAAGGCGGCGACGGGUAGCCGGCCUGAGAGGGUGGACGGGCACAUUGGGGGUGGGAUACGGACCAGACUCCUACGGGAGGCAGCAAUGGGGAAUAUUGCACAAUGGGCGGAAGCCUGAUGCAGCGACGCCGCGUGGGGGAUGACGGCCUUCGGGGUGUAAACUCCUUGCGACCGCGAGGAAGCCACCUGGUUGGAAGGGUGGUGACGGUAGUGGUAGAAGAAGCACCGGCGAACUACGU